UGAGCCGGUUCUUCCCCAGGAGCACAGAGAUCAGAAGCACGGGCACUGGAUGGUACCAGGCCCAGUCUCGGGAAUCUCAGCUCUCCUGCUUUCUGUGUGAUCUCGGGCAAGUUCCUUUACCUCUCUGAGCCUCAGAAAUAUGCCUGCAAAUUGUGGAGAGCAAGACUACCUACCUCGUGGAGUGGUUGUAAAGACCACAUAUGAUCACACAGUACAAAGUGCCUGAGUGGGAGAAAUUCUCGAUUAACGCCCAUCUAUUUGUCAAGACCCAGCUUGAGUCUCCUCCAGGAAGCCUGCUGUGAUUUCCUCCCUACUCCUGGGCCCUGCCACAUUCUCGCUGAGGAGGAGUUCCCCCUCGGUUUGCCCAUCCCCACGUCCAGAACAGUUCCCUGGUCUGUGCUCGUUG